UACGAAGGGAGCUAGCGUUGUUCGGAAUCACUGGGCGUAAAGCGCACGUAGGCGGAUGUGUCAGUCAGGGGUGAAAUCCCGGAGCUCAACUCCGGAACUGCCUUUGAUACUGGGUGUCUUGAGUGUGGAAGAGGUGAGUGGAAUUCCGAGUGUAGAGGUGAAAUUCGUAGAUAUUCGGAGGAACACCAGUGGCGAAGGCGGCUCACUGGUCCAUUACUGACGCUGAGGUGCGAAAGCGUGGGGAGCAAACAGG
rnacentral:rRNA from 1 species